CCUACGGGAGGCAGCAGUGGGGGAUAUUGCACAAUGGGGGGAACCCUGAUGCAGCGACGCCGCGUGGGUGAAGAAGCGCCUCGGCGCGUAAAGCUCUGUCAGCAGGGACGAAAAUGACGGUAGCUGCAGAAUAAGCCCCGGCUAACUACGUGCCAGCAGCCGCGGUAAUACUUAGGGGGCAAGCGGUAUUCGGAUGUACUGGUUGUAAAGGGGGCGCAGGCGGCGGUGCAAGCAAGGAGUGAAAGCCCUGGGCCGAACCCCGGGAGUGCUCUUGGAAGUGCGUAGCUGGAGUGCAGGAGGGGAAAGCGGAAUUCCUGGUGUAGCGGUGAAAUGCGUAGAUAUCAGGAGGAACACCAGUGGCGAAGGCGGCUUGCUGGACUGCAACUGACGUUGAGGCACGAAAGCGUGGGGAGCGAACAGGAUUAGAUACCCGAGUAGUC
rnacentral:rRNA from 1 species